rnacentral:misc_RNA from 1 species
UGUGCGGGCACCGGUCGGCCUAUGGAACCACCGUUGUGUGCUCCGUGCAUUACGUCGAAGGCAAAUACUCCCUCUAAUCGGUGCGUAACUUGCGCGCAUCGGUGGGGCUUGACAAGACAAUCAAGCCUUGGCGGUUUACUCGAACGACGAAGCGAUGAUGGGCUGUUGAGGAUGACGAAUCCUGAAGCGAUGAUGACUCAGAGUGCCCCAUCGUGAAAUCGUUAGCGUAAAUCGCCCGCAAGUAG